rnacentral:lncRNA from 1 species
UUUCUAUGUGUAUUGUUACCACUCACAUAAAUGCCUACAUUCCUCUAAGACUUCCAGCUAAAUUCCUCUCACCUCAGUGUAAGCAAAGGAACUUGAAAUUUUAUAUGAUUUAAGGUUAACAACUCAUUAUUUUGCCAAUGUGUAAGUUAAUCAUACCCUAGAUCUAUUUAAUUAUGUAGAUCAUAAACUUCUGCGGACAAUUUUCUCAGUGAUUAUCUUUUCUCAGACCUGCUACAAUGUAAUUAUAAUUUGUGUCAUGAUAGGGUUUUGGUCGAGCAGACAGUUUCCCUUUUUCUGUUGAGCAGAGCAACCUUGUGUUCAACAUUCAGCCAGCCCCAGCCAUGGUCUACGAUUACUAUGAAAAAGGUAGGCAAGCAACAGCCAUGCCCUAAGGUUAUUGAAUGUGGUAUUUAUAUCUAAUAUUCCCUGAGCUACUAAAUUUCCAAAAUCAACCUCCGUCUUCACAGAGUAAACAAUAGAUGGCAUUACUUUGUAUACUGGUUUCUUUAUCCCAUGAUGUGUCUUCUGACUGAACCCAUUUUCCAGUUACCAGAGUUUUUCAACACCAGAAUCCUUGCAAUAUAACCUGACAGGGCUCCACUUGAACUUGAAAUACAAGCCACACUAAGCUUCCAGGUCUUUUUGUUAUUGUCAUUGUUGUUCAUGCUAAGACUGACUGUUCCAAGCUACUUCUGUGGACUUUGACUUAAAGAGAGGAGUGGGGAAUAUUCUGAAAUGCUAACUAACUUAAAAAUUUGAUAGAUUAAUUUCUAAAACAUAUACAAAGAUGUUGUAGAGACCAUACAACUGUUCCCUGGAAGGUUGGUACUAUUUAUUUCUUGUUGAAUGCUGUGUGAAGUUUGUGGAGUGUUUGAAUUCUGUCUCUAUCAUUUACUAAUAGAAUAUAUUUCAUCAAGUGUCUUAAAUAUUAUUAGCAUAUUUCUGGAUGUAUAAAAUGGGAAAGUAAUUGUCUCUAUUUCAAAAUUAUUGGAAGGAUUAGAUCUAAUGUGCUUAUAUCAUCUAUUUAAUAAAAAUACAUGUUCCCUUUAUUUUUUCAGAAGAAUAUGCCCUAGCUUUUUACAACAUCGACAGUAGUUCAGUUUCCGAGUGAGACAAAGCAAUUACUAGAAGAGUUGGAGAAGCAUUUCUUGUAACAAACUGAUUCUUCUGUAUCAAACCUGGAAAAAAAUCAUGAACCAUCUGACAUCGUGAACAGUCUGCAGUGGGCUAUGGUUUCUUGUCAAGUCUUAUUUCCUUAUCAUCCCAUUAAAUGUUGUCAUUUUGCAU